rnacentral:rRNA from 1 species
UACGUAGGGUGCAAGCGUUGUCCGGAAUUAUUGGGCGUAAAGAGCUCGUAGGUGGUCUGUUGCGUCGGCUGUGAAACCCCGAGGCUCAACCUCGGGCCUGCAGCCGAUACGGGCAGACUAGAGUUCGGCAGGGGAGACUGGAAUUCCUGGUGUAGCGGUGAAAUGCGCAGAUAUCAGGAGGAACACCGGUGGCGAAGGCGGAUCUCUGGGC